UGAUUCAGAAGGAUUCUGAGUAUUGGUUACUUGGCAUGUAUCUUCAUGUUUUAGCUACACUUGAAAGAAACUGGAAAUCAUAGAGAUUGCAUUAUAGAGGUGGCUUAUAAAAACUAGAUCAUAGCCCCCAGCCCCAUGGGGGAAAUCACCCCCUUGGUUCAAUUAUCUCCUACUGGGUCCCUCCCACAACACGUUGGAAUUAUGGGAGCUACAAUUCAAGAUGAGAUUUGGGUGGGGACACAGCCAAACCAUAUCAAUGGGCUUUUCUAAUUAACAGACCAGAUAGUGGUCCCAAUAGAACUAGGUCACAGGGCUUUGACUUUAAUUUUAAAAAUUAUAAUG
rnacentral:lncRNA from 1 species